GUGGGGAAUAUUGGACAAUGGGGGGAACCCUGAUCCAGACAUGCCGCGUGUGUGAAGAAGGCCUUUUGGUUGUAAAGCACUUUAAGCGAGGAGGAGGCUACCGAGAUUAAUACUCUUGGAUAGUGGACGUUACUCGCAGAAUAAGCACCGGCUAACUCUGUGCCAGCAGCCGCGGUAAUACAGAGGGUGCAAGCGUUAAUCGGAUUUACUGGGCGUAAAGCGCGCGUAGGUGGCCAAUUAAGUCAAAUGUGAAAUCCCCGAGCUUAACUUGGGAAGUGCAUUCGAUACUGGUUUGCUAGAGUAUGGGAGAGGAUGGUAGAAUUCCAGGUGUAGCGGUGAAAUGCGUAGAGAUCUGGAGGAAUACCGAUGGCGAAGGCAGCCAUCUGGCCUAAUACUGACACUGAGGUGCGAAAGCAUGGGGAGCAAACAGGAUUAGAAACCCGAGUAGUCC
rnacentral:rRNA from 1 species